rnacentral:lncRNA from 1 species
GCUGAUCACCUAUUAUACUUGUUUAUAUUGAAUUGUCAGUGUAAUAUUGUUAAUUCUAGCAGGAUUUCUUGGUCCAUAGUGACUACUCAGUGUUAAAUAUUCUUUAACUUUAAAGUGUUGAAACCUUUGAAUUUCGUUAAUAAUCUUUCGGUCCAUGGUGACUUUUAUUUCAAUUCAAAGGACAGAUUUGGAACUAUUGAUACUUCUUUGAUUAGAACAUUAUUCUUUUAAUUCUUAAGCUAUUAUUUACCGUUAUACCCUUGAGAUGAUGAACUUUAUAUUAUACCCUUCUUAUUAUAUUACUUGCCGGACAAAUUUGUUGUUAAUCUUCAUUUCCUUAAACAUUUCAGUUAAGGUAGAACAGGGCGGUACCUCAAGAAAGGAAAAGGGCAAGGCUAUGGAGUAAUUUUGUUCUUUCAUGCUAGAAGUUUAUUAUUAUGUUGUAAUAAGACUUAUUAGUAUUAUGUAUUAAGUUAUAUUUUGAAUUAAGUUGUGUAAUAUGUUAGUAAUGGUUGCG